AUGUAUGGCAAAUCAAAAGUUGCUGCAGAGAAGUUCAUUACUGAGAAAUGCUCAAAUUAUGCAAUCUUGAGAAGCAGCAUUAUUUAUGGGCCAUAAACAAUCUCUCCCGUGGAGAAUUCGCUCCCUAUCCAGUGGAUGAACUCUGUCCUUUCACAAGGCCAACAAGUUUUUUUUAAUGAUGAGUACCGCUGCCCAGUUUAUGUAAAAGAUAUGGUGGAUGUAAUAUUGUCUUUAACGAAAAGUUGGUUAUCAGGUAUGAAAAAGGCGAAUUGGAUUUUAUGGAGUUCAGUCAUUAGGAAUGCUCCUUUUCUACAGUGUAAUGGUUCACUUUGUGAAAUCUGCUCUUUCUAA
rnacentral:rRNA from 1 species